GAUGAAGAACGUAGCGAAAUGCGAUAAUUAAUGUGAAUUGCAGAAUUCCGUGAAUCAUCGAGUCUUUGAACGCACAUUGCGCAUCAUGGCAUUCCGUGAGGCAUGCCCAUCUCAGCGUUAGAAAAUAUUCUCAAAUUUUAGUUUUGUGCUAAAAUUUGGAUCAUGUCAAGGAAGCUAUUACUAUUAUUGUGAUCGCUCUUUGGAAAUUGAUAGGUCUUUGAGUUGCUACUCAUAGAACGUGAUGAAUCUUUCUUCGUUCUAUUGUAAUUCACUCUGGUAGUCCUAAAACUUGUAUGCCUGUGGCAUAUCUUGUAAUUUGACCUGAGAUUGGGUAGGGAUACCCGCUGAACUUAAGCAUAUCAAUAAGCGGAGGA
rnacentral:misc_RNA from 1 species